GCGUGACACUGUCCCCGGCGCCCCGCCCACCAGCCCUACCCGCCUCCUCAUUCGCCAGGAUGCCCUCACGACAGACACUUUGCCCCGCCCUCCUGAGUUGAUCAUUGGAAGAGGCAGUCCAGGGAGGAAGACAGAGAAUGGACCUUGGAGACACAAAGACCUGGCUUCCUGUCAUGCCUCCAACACACUGGCUUUGCAAUUUGAGCACGUCACUUACCCUCUCAGCACCCCAGGCAACUCUCUGAGACUCCAAGUUAGAAAGGAGAUGCUGAUCAGUAUUGGUGAAGACACUAGUGAAAUUAUAAAUCAUACAAUCAUCGAUUUGGAUAGGGAAAGGACCGAGGUCAUCUAGUCGCUACCCCUUCAUUUUACAGGUAAAGAAACUAAAAAGUCUUUGAUCAGAAUGGUGAGAAAGCCUCAGGGAAGACACCUUUGGAAGAUUUGGAACCUUGCAUGACUAUCUGAGAGGCAUUUUUUUAAACGUUGUCCCCAAAUUCUAGAGGUCUAUUCUGGUUUUGGUCUGAUAUUCUCCUUUGCAAAUCCCUAUUGGUUGUGAAGAUAUUAUGAAUCUGAAAAGAUCUCUUCUGGAGCUUUCCUCAACAAGUCUUGUUCCUACCUAAUCCUCUAACUUGAAUGUAUUUCUCACUGUUUUGCUAUUAAUUUGUUUGCAAGUUAUCCGUUCACUGUUUCCCCUUCAUUCUUUCAUAGCCCUCCCAAAAGUUAGAAUCUUGUUCUCAGAAUCUGUUAAUUAGAUAGUAAAAAGUCUGCAUCCAUCUUAGCCCACCCUGAAAGACAGCUAUUCCUUUACGGAGAGAACAUUCCACUGACCAGGGUGUUUCUCAACCUUAUACAUUAAUUGUCUUGUCCUCCUGGGGGGGGGGGGGAUUCUUUAACUUGAUCGAAUUCCAGCUGUGAAUAAACAUUUUGAGGGUUUUUUUUCUUCAUACACAAGGAGAGACUUAUUUUACAGAUGUUAGCCAUAUUUUCAACUUUCCUAAUAGGUGGAGUGCCCUGGGGUUCCUUAAUAAUGGGUUGGGCUGAGGACCACAGCAGGACCGAAGUCUGACCUCUCAUUAACUAACAGGAAAAUGCCUUCUCCAUCAGGCAUUACUACUCCUGUAAUGACAGGGAUCCUAAAGGACUAGAAGAGUAAAAGGUGUUUAAUAUUUGAAGUGCAGUAACAGCGGCCGGGUGGGUGGGAGGUGAGAAGUUACCAUCUGUCUCCUGAUGACUAAUAAGGAGAUCAUCAAAAUGAGUAGCUAGCAUUUAUAUAGGUUUGCAAAAUGCUUUACAUGUAUUGUCUCAUCUGGUCUUCACAACAACCCUGUGAGGUAGAGGCUAUUAUUAUCCUCAUUUUACACCUGAAGAAACCAAGGCUGAGAGAUGUUAAGUAAUUUGCCCAGGGUCUCACAGCUAAUAAGGGUCUGGGGGAGAAUUUGAACUCAGAUCCUCCUGAAUCCAAAUCCCAUGAUCUAUCCACCAUGCCACCUGGUUGCUCUAGAUCAAAGGAGCAAAUUCAUGAUAGCUUCUCCCUAAUUUCAGUUCUGGACCUCCCUGUUGCUGAUUUCACCUGGACUUGACUUUCUAAUGGCUCUGUAAUUGAUUUUCUCCCCAUGACAACAGGGUUUGUCAUCAGGCGUCACCCACUUAUUUUACUUCAUUUUGCUACAUGCGAGUUGCAGGAAGGACCCUCAGUAGCAAACAUAUCUGAAAACUGACUUAUGGGUGAAUUGAUAGUUGAAUACAUGUCAGGUUCCUGCUGAUCUAAGGAGCUUCCAAAUGUCAAGUGCAAAACAAGCUAAUGAAAAAGAAGAGGAAGAGGAAGAAGAAGAAGAAGAAGAAGAAGAAGAAGAAGAAGAAGAAGAAGAAGAAGAAGAAGAAGAAGAAGAAGAAGAAGAAGAAGAAGAAGAAGAAGAGGAAGAGGAAGAGGAAGAGGAAGAGGAAGAGGAAGAGGAAGAGGAAGAGGAAGAGGAAGAGGAAGAGGAAGAAGAAGAAGAAGAAGAAGAAGAAGAAGAAGAAGAAGAAGAAGAAGAAGAAGAAGAAGAAGAAGAAAGAAGAGGAGGAGGAGGAAGAGGAGGAGGAGGAGGAGGAGAGGAGGAGGAGAGAAGGAGGAGGAGGAGCAGAAGAAGAAGAAGUCCAUUUUAGGCAAAGAACAGGAGCUUACUCUCUUGGAUUCAUCCUGGGGUGGGAUCUACGGGGCUCUCUGGAAGAGCAGGAUGGAAAGUUAACUGAACUGCCAGGCAAUCCUGCCCACCCAACCUCGAAAAGGAUUUUUGGAUUUUCCCCUUCAUCUCCAUUCCCAUCCCCACCAUCCUACUCCAAGUCCUUUAUUGUCUCACGCCUGAACUAAAACAGUUUUCUAACUGCUCUCCCAUAAAUCUUACUAAAAUACUCCUUUGCGCAUGUUACUAUCCUACAUGAAAAAUCUCCGGCACCUCCUCCCUUACCUACAGUAGAGAAAGUCCAGAUUCCUUAGCUUGAUAAGGUCAGGCACAUCACAAUCUGGCCACGAUCUUCCUCUGAGCUUACCACCCGUUGUUCGACUCCAUGAAUCCUUUGCUCUAGCCAAACUGGUGCACUCAUCACCACCAUCCCUCCCCCAGACUUCAUACUUUUCCAACUUUGUUCAGAUUAUUAUCCUUAAGACGCCGGAAAGUACUCAAAUUUUUAUUGAGUGAAUAAAUGGAUGAGUAGAUAGAAAACCUCCCCACUGUUUUUAAGGUCCCAGCUUUCAACUCAAAUUCCCAAUCCACGUCUCUGACUUUCUUCUGAUUUACCGUAACAUCUAUCUGUAACAAACAGGGAAUACUUAUAACCCACCACUUAAGAUUAUUUCUCUUUUGUGUCCUGAUCCCUCCCUCAAUGAUAUGUCCUCUCUCCCUGGCUAGAUCACAAGCUCAUAAUGCUAUUAUAGAAUAGUAGAGAUUAUUCAUUUUUCAUUUUCAGAGGAAGAAGAGACUUUAAGUGACUUGGUCUAAGCUACUCAGUAAGGACCUGUGGCUGUUUCUUUUCAUUUUUUAUACCCCUCAUACUUUGUGAAGCUAUAAUUAUCAUAGAAUCAAAAUUUUAGAUCUGGAAGGGAUGUUAAAGGAUGUCAGGUCAGGUCCAACCCUGUCAUUUAACAUAAAGGAAAACAAGAUUUCAAGGUUACAGAACUCUUUUAGGUAGAAAGUACAAAGGCAAGAUUUGAAUCCAGGUCCUCUGACUCCAAAUCCAAUUUUUAGGACAAUAUCUCAGUGUAGCAGACAACAAAAUUAAUUCUCUGAAAAUUACAAUAGUUAAAAGUACUGAUGAGGUGACUGUCGAUGUUAUUAUAAGGCUGAUCAUUUUCUAGCUUGACAUUGUCUCCCAGUCAGCUGCCUUAUCCCAACAACCAUAGAACCCUUCAAUCCCAACAUUCCACUUUUUCUGGCUGAGGGAGCCUCAACUGAAGGCUGCUUUAGAAUUCAGUUCAAAUUUCAUUAUAUUACCAACAAUUCCAAGUGGGAUGUUCUAAUUCUUUUGAUGCACUGGAAUUUUGUUGUGUUGAAUUUAGCUUGAAAGAAGUGGGCCACCAGCUGGGAAUCAUAAAUCUUUUUGUUUCACAUACACAGAUUUUUUUUACAUGUUGGUAUUUGAUAUAACAGACUUUGUCUAAAAGGUAUUCCAAAGGAAAUUACUUUUGUUCCAUUACUUGUUUAUCUAGGAACAUGUUCUCUGUCCUCUGUUUAUGGUGGUGUACUUUGGAUUAUAAGCUCCUGAAGGGCAGGAAAAAUACAUUUGUAAUACAUAAAUAUAUAUGUGUUUAAUUUAAUUCAACUUUUACUGAUAUUUUGGUUUUUGUAUUGAUCAAUCAAUAAACAUUUAUUAAAUACCUACAAUGUACUAGGCACUCUGCAAAGAGUUGGCCAACACACACAAAAAAAGACAUGAUACUCCCUGCCUUCAAGGAGUCCAUAAUCUAAUGGUGGAGAUAGCAUGUAAACAAAUAUAUACCCAACAAGCUAAAUGCAGGAUAAAUAGGAAAUAAUUAACAGAGGGGGAAGGCAAUGGAAUUAAAAGAAUUUGGGCAAGGCUUCCUGUAGAAGGUGGGAUUUUAAAGGAAACCAGGGAGGUCAAAAGUCAUUUCUGAAAACUCUCUUCAAAUUGAAUUCUUCUUGUAAUACAAAAAAUAAAAACCACAAUUUUCUGCCCAAAUGGUCCCCUGCCUCCUCUCUGAGAGGAGGGAGGAAUGUGUCAUUAUUACCUUUUUUCCAUUACCAUAAAUGGCCUUUGGUUGCUUUGAGUCUAACUUUCUCUUACUGAUAUUUUCAUUUCUACUGUUGCAGUUAAAUUUUAUUUGUAGUUCUUUGGUCCCACUGUUUUGACUCUCCUCUCUACAAACCAUACUAUGUUUCUCUGGUUUUCUCAUCGUUUCCAUUUCUUAGUGCACAAAACCCAUUUUACCCCCCAACUCACCAUAGCACAGUUCACAAGUUAGAAGUCAGUAAUUCCAUUCAACUAGGCAAAUUAUUGAGUACUGUGUCCUAAAGUGCUAUUCUAGGCACUAGGAACAAGAAGGCAGAAAUUAAAUAAUAGUCCCUGUCUUUAAGGAACUUAGUCUAAUGGGACAUGCAAUUGGACAUGAAAAUAGGUAAAUGUAAAACACACACAAAUUAAUAGUCAUUUCAAAAGAGAACAUUCGCAACUAGAAGGAUCUGAGAAGCCCUUGGGCAGAUGGCAGCAUCCAAGUCAUGCUUUGAAGGGAGUUGGGGAUUCUAGUAGGCAGAGGUGAUGAGAGGAUGCAUUUCAGACAUUGGGGUCCCAUCUCUGUAAAGACUUCAAAAAAGCAAGAGAUGGAGUUUAUUUGUUUUCAAUGGUAUAACUUUGUCCACUUUGAAAAUUCAAAGACAGUCUGACUAUUUCCAUUGCUAUUGUGAUACCAGAUUGCUAAACUGUCAAAAGAAAGUAUUUUAAUAGUUAUUCUACUUUAUUUGAUUUCUCAUGACUCAGAAAGCAAAAGGGCUUUGGUUGCCCUUUAGUUACCAUUAUUGCCAUAAACUGCCAACUACCAUGACCAGUGGCAAAAAAAAUUCAUAUCCAUGUGCUCUUUCCAAUAAUCAUUCCUAUCCACUCAUCUCCAUAAACAUUUUCAGUCAUAGGAUUUGGGAGUUAGAAUAGGUCUGGAGUCAGGAAGACUUGAUUUCAAAUCCAGCCUCAUACAUUUACUACUUGUGGGAUUCUGAGCAAGUCACUUAACCUCUUUUUGCUUCAGUUUCCUCAUCUGUAAAAUGAGGGAAAUAAUAGCCUCUACCUUCCAGGGUUGAUGUGAGGAUCAAAUGAAAUAAUAUUUGAAAAAAUGCUUAGCAUAGAGCCUGGCACAUAGUAAGUGAUAUAUGUUAUUAUUUUAGUUAUUGGCUAAUUCUUAUUUUAUGCCUGAAGAACCAGAUUCCUGGAGAGACCAAGUGACCAGUAGUAAGCAUGGUACAGUAGAAAGGAAACCAGUUCUGAAGUCAGAGGACCUGGGUUCAAAUCUUGGCUUCUGAAUUUAACAUCUAAGUGAUUUUAGAAAAUUGCUUAACUUACUCAAAUUUCAGUUUCCCCCUCUAUAAAACAAGGAGGUUUGUCUAGAUGGUCUCCGAUUUCCUUCUGCCUCUCAAGCUCAAAUCCUAAGUUCUCUGCCAGAGAAUUAUUAGCAGAGUCAUGAAUGGAGAACCAAGGUCUCCUAACUCUUAGGCCAUGUGUAUUCUCCAUUAUGCUGUGUUGCCUUUUACAGCCCAUCAGAUCAGGGAAAAGAUCUAUUUAAUUUCUUCUCCUAGGAAAAGGAUGCUAUCCAAAGUAUCAGUGGGAAAGCAUCCCAUCUGGAUGACUCAUUUUCACUCCAAGAUUAACUACUUUCAUCACACCACUUUCAUGCCUUCCCUCCCACUCAGUUUCAUGUCUAGCCUAGGCCUCAAGAUUCCUCACACCCCUUAUCCCCUCUUUUUUUGCUGCCCCAGCUGGGCUUUCCUCCUACUCCCUAGCCCCCGUCUCAUCAUCUCCAGAUUCCACUGGCCACUUUAAUUGGGAUCCAUUUUAAGAAAUGUUUUUUAAGGUAUGUCUUCCUGAAGUAUCAUGGUGACCUUCACCAAGGACAGAAUAAAGACAUCUCAGUAAGCCUCUGCAGUUGCAUAUGAGUAAGCACACACCCAUAUGCUGCAGAGAUGUCAUUAGGAUCCAUGCACUUUAACAAAGUAGAAUCCAUGUCUCUCAAAGCAUAUUUUACAUCAAAAUCAGCUCCUAGGGACUGUCUAGAUUCUUCACUGAUAGCUGUCUUUUGUAUUGGAGAAUAUUGUUCCUAAGCUUGACAUUUCUUCAUGGUCUGGUUUUGGCCUCCUUUUCCCAGACUUAUUUAAUAUUACUGUACUUACCAUUUCUAUUUGCCUCACUAACUCAUACCCUUCCUGAAGGUCAACUUUAGCUCUUCCCUGGGUUCUCUACUACUCCAUGAAAUUCCAUGUAGCACAUGAUUAUAAUGGUCUUUUAUAAAUCUCUGGUUUUUCGUGUGUUCUUUCAUCUUGUCUUCCAAGUAAAUCAUGAACUUCAUAGUAUAAAGGACCAAAUCUUAUAUCUCUCUUCUGUUCCUGCCAAUACCUAACAAUACCUGAACAUGGGUUCAAUGAUUGCUUCUUGAUGGGCUGAUAUGGCUCUUGGUAUUGCGAAGAUGGGAUUAACUCUCCCCUCACCCACUUUUAGAUUUAAUCACCUGAAGAGUAUACACCGCACUUAUCCUUAAGUAUGGGGAGGUCUGUGACCCACGUGUGCUAUAGCCAGUGACGAAUCAGAAAUGACUGACUGCUCCCUGGGCAGUCCUAAGCAAAGCUAAAGCUGCAAUUGAUUCAUGUAAAGUGGAAGGAAGGCACAGGAAGUGACGAAAGGAAGGGUCUUUAAAAGUGGGAAAAACUUCCUGUGAGAGGUGUUCGGCCUUUGAACUUGGCCUUGAAGGAGCUCCGUCUAGGGACCUUGGACUGUUCCUGACAGGCUGUCUGGUGGAGGAUGGUGGAAGCUCGUGAUUCAAAUACCUACUCAUGACUUAAAGCAAAAAAUCGUGAUUGUGACUGCUUGUAUUUCAAAUUGCUUGUGACUUGCAUAUCAAGGUACUACUGUAUUUGUAUAUCUAGUGCUUAGCAUAGUAGCUGGUAUAUAGUAGGCACUUAAUAAUUGUUUAACUGUCAGGAGCAUCUAUUUUUUUUUUAAAUGACCUCAUCCACAGGGUUUUUAAUAUUUGGCAUCUGGGCCAUUUACAACUUACCCAACUUAUACUUUUAGCCUUGUUAUACAUUAUUCUCCUUCACAUAUCCUACAGACAAGUCCAGCUGACUUUCUCUUCCUCACAGGCAGUACUUCAUCUCCCAUUUUGAUGACUUAGUCCUGGCUGAUAUAGAUGCAUUCCCUCCUCACCUCCUCUUAAAAUCUCUGUUUUCUUUCAGAACUUAGCUUAAUUGACGUUUUUUACAUGAAGCAUUUUGUUAUUCCUCCAAGUACUAGUGCCUCCCCCACCCAGUUUAUCUAUCAGAUGGUGCCUGGCUAGCACUUAGUUAAGUGAUGAAUGGAAGCUGAGUUAAAAUGGACCCAAUUGAGUUAGCUUAUUUUAAAAUCAUUAAAAUUGCUUCAUUUUUCAUCAUGGACUUCUCUUCCAGGCCCUAGAAAUCUCUUUAUUCAGAAAGAUCACUCCUUGAGGGCAGAGCUCAUUUUUCUUUUCCCCUUAAUACAGUGACUCACCCAUACUAAGCAUUUCUUUCUUGUUGACUGACAUUCAAUAGUAAUCAAUGAAAAGUUAGGUGAGUACUUGAAGCCAGCAAUAAAUCACUAAGAAAUGGCAUGAAAUGAACAUCUCUUUUUGUGACAGGUUUGCAAAGGGGCAAGUAUAUUAGGGAAAUACCAUAAGUACAAGUAUUAGUAACCUUUUUGUGUUUUGGAUACUGUUAAAAUUUUGUAAAGGACCACUUCUCAGAAUGUCUGAGUUUGCUUAUAUUCAUAGUUAAAAGACAAGCUAAAUUUUAAUUAAAGGUAAAUGAAAAUAAAGACAUAAAUUUCCCCCUGAUAUCUAUCCAUGGUUCCCUUGGAAAUCUGCAUGUGGCCCCUGGACUCUGUAGACCCUGGGCUAAUAGCACUAGCUAGAGAAUAUGGUUUGUCUGAAUUUAGCAAAAUAGUUGAUGAAGUCUCUCAUGACAUCCUUGUGGACAAGAUGGAGAAAUGUAGAAUAGAUUAUGGUAAAGGUAGUGGAUUUAUAACAAAUUCCAUAAAAGUUUUGUACCUGAACAUUUGAGAUCAGUGGCAUGCUGCAAAGCUGUCUUUGGUCCUAUUCACUUCAACGUUUCUAUUCCUGACUUAGAUGUAUAAGUGGUUUAUCAAAUCUGUGAAGAGCACAAACUUGGUCGGGAUAUCUAACAUAUUGGAAUCAAGAUCCUAAAUUUAUGAAUCAAGAUCUUAAAAGAUCUUAAUAAGCAAGAAUGAUGAGCUACAAUAGAAAAGGGAUGAGUGCAAAGUUCUUCACUUAGAAUUAAAAUUUUAUAAGAGAGAGAGAAGACAGAGAAUUUGUAUGAAAAAUGCCAAAGGAAUUUUGUUACUUUGGUUUAGUCCUGUCCAACUCUUUGUGACUCCAUUUGAGGUUUUCUUUGCAAAGAUAUGGAAGUGGUUAGCCAUUUCUUUCUUCAGCUCAUUUUACAGAUGAAGAAAUCAUGGCAAACAGGGUUAAAUGACUUUCUUAGGGUUGUAUGGUUAAUGUCUCAGGCUGUAAUUAUACUCAGGUCUUCCUGACUCUAGGUCCAGUGCUCUAGUGGGCCUCCUAGCUGCCCCUCUCCCCAAAGAUAUUUAGUUGACUGCAAAUUCAAUAUAGAUCAAUGGUGUAAUAAGAUGAACAAAAAUAAGAACUUUGAGCUAUAUCAAUGAAAGUUAAUAUCCAGGACCAAGCUGCAACUAAUUUUGCAAUUCUGGAAUGGAGAAUCUGAGCUUAUAUAUAAUAAGUGGGUCAGUCAGUAAAGUGCAUACCUAGAGGAAUAUAUAGUAGAAGUGCUAACUCCAUGCACUUUGGAAAAAGCAGGUUGCUUCCCAAUCUUUAAUGUCUAUAGACUUGUCUCCAGAAUUUUACAAAGCUCUUCUAGGAUUCAAACUACUCACAAAACUUCCUAUUCUGGAAAUGUAGGUAAAUUUCAAUGAGACCAUUGUUCAUCUGGGUAUGUGUCUCCAAGAAAUAACCAAUUAGACUGGGGACAUGAAUCUCAUGAGAUUCCUUUCCCCAGGAGUAGCUUUCCUCCACCAUCUUGUUUAUCAGCUAAUAGAACCUGACCAUGAUGAAUGUCAUUGUGAGUGCUGACUAUCUUGGCUAGUUCUCAAGGAAAUAUGGACUUCUCUUGAUAUCAACUCAACUCUAACACAAUAUACAACCUAUUCCAAAGCAACUGCUAUUUCUAAUUCUUAUGAAACUAGUCAGACCCAACAGGGUCAUCAUCAAGCACUUGGGGAUAUUGCUGUAUUCUCUGUGAUGCUAUGUAUAGCCUGUUUCUUAAGCCAUUACUGAUCCCUCAGUCAUGUGAUGUUGUCAUGACAUUUUCAUCCUCUGAUUUAAUCACCAGCCCUUGAAUGCAGCUGCCUUGGAUAUACUCAUUCAUGGCUUCAGUAGCUCAUAGUGCUGAACAGUUCUUGAUGUUCAAUGCCAACCCUAUAUAGAUAGAUCCCCGAUCUACCAGUAUAGGUAGCCUAUGCAUGUGGAUAUUAGGGAAAAUGGGAAGGAGUUGGAAAAUAGUAUUGAAAGAGUAAUAAAACUGAAGCCCAGGAUGUGGUUGAAAGGAUGGGUAAUUGUGUGUCAAGGCCUGGAAAGCUGAGUAGGUGUGGAAACAUCAUUUUUCUUUUGGUCUCAAAUAUUCCUUCAGAUUAAUGGGGUGGGGAGGGGAGGACUGGGAAAGAGAAGGAGGAGGCAGUCUAAAGUGUGAAGAGCACAGACCACCAGGAGCAUGAAGACAAGGGGCUAACAUCACCAGUUGGAAAGAUUACCUGGAUUACUAGUCACCUAUGAUGUCUCAGGAGUGAGAACAAUGGCAGUAUGUAGUAGGAAUUUGACAGAUUGUCAUGGGUGGGGCUUUCGACAGAAAGUGUUAGAACUUGCUACUUGUUUUAAUAAGAUCACAGAAUUAUAGACUUACAACUAGAAAGGGCCUUAGAAGUCAUCUAGUUCAACUCUCUCUCUCUUUACAAAUGAGGGAACAAAGGUCCAGAGAGUUGAAAUGACUUGCCCAGGUUCACAUAUGUAGUAAGUAUAUGAGGCAGGAUUUGAACCCAGGUAUUUCUGAAUCCAAUCCCCCUUUUCUAGCCAUUAGACUAUGAGCUUCAAUAGGAAACAUAGGAAACCAAAAAAUUUCCCUACAUGAGAACACUGUAUCUAUUCCCAGGGCAGUCUACCUGAAGUGUGGAGAGAUGGAUGAGAAAAUUAAAAGGAAAAAAUUUCAGUUGGUAAAACAUUUUGCCUUAGGAUGCAUUUAAGAGCCAUUAUAUCUUGGACUUGUCUAUGCUGGUUUAUUGAAGAGUGAGAGCCAAAAUGAAAGUGAAUCUCACUUGACUGCAAUUCAUAUGUUAAUCAGAACAUACAUAUCUCAUUCCUUCAGAAUGCAUGCAAUUACAUCCUCCUAAUGUCCAUGGUGGAAGUGGAGAAUCAUAACUUAAAAGGGACCAUAAGAGAUCAUCUACUUCAUGCUUAUCUUCCAUAGAUAGGACCAUUCUGAGAGGAUACUAGCUUUCUAUGAGUCCCCCCAAGUGCUUCCUUCCCUCCUUUCACUUCAGACCCCAGCCCAAAUCUGCCGGCCCCUUCUACUGGUGCUCUCUGGAGUCGCUGUUCUGUAAUUAACUUCCUUUCCUCCUAAACCAUUUGUUUUCUUAUUCCUUCCUUGUUUUCCUAUUCCUUCCAUAUUCUGGCACUCACUCAAAUCUGGCUCCUUCCCAUUGUCACAGUAUCCUUGGUAAUGCUUUCGAUACUGCUGUGUGUUCACUCAUAUGCCCCAACUCCCUGGCUGUGUAGCAGGUUAGUUGGAAUACGCCUUGGUCAAUGUUUCCACUCUACCACCCUUUCUCAUGAAUUAUUUACUACCCCGCAUCUGAAGUUCCUGCUAUCCAAAUCUAUCACCCAAUGUAGAUCCUGGUGCCAGUUGUGGAUCAGCCCCCAUUCUUCCUUACUCUGUUCAAUCCCUGGCGGCUCACAACGUUUGCACUCUAACCCUAACCCUACCAGGGGAGUUCAGUAGAUACAUAUGGAUGCUCCGCAUCUAUCCCAAUUUCCCAGUUCCUCAAUCUAGCCAAUUCCUAUCACCUGUCCCUCUACUACAGCUCUACACAGAGAUGGUUAGACUCUAGAUCUUACCCUCACCUACAAGUAUUCCACUACUAAGUCAAGUCAAGAAGUAAAUUUUAAGUUUAGUUCAGGCACUAUAAUAAAUGCUGGAAAAAAAACAAAUACAAGCAGCUUACAUUCUAAUGGGGGAAGACAACACAUAAAAGGAAGCUAAAAGGAUCAAAGGAAGGUACCCAUGAUGGGGUAUAGUGGCAAUGUUUGGAGAAUCAAAGAUGAUUUAGCAGCGUCUUUCCUUAAAAUAGAGAUUCUAGGAAGAACUCAUUGAUGACAUAAGGGGAGUGGGGCAGCUGAAGCCAGAGAGUAAAAGCAUGGCUGGUCUAAACUCUUCUUCAAGAUGAAGGUUCCAGGAGGAAUUCACCUUUAUUUCAUGCAAUGUGAUUUCAUGUGAUUAUCAUCAUCUCCAGGCCUGGCUCUCUAUCCACUGAGCCACCUAGCUGCCCCUAUGUUCACUUUUGAUCUCAUCCCCUUGUUUCUUCUCUAACAGAUUGCUUCCGUUAUUAUCCUUACUCUCUAAUUUUCAAUCUUUCUCUUUUUAUUAGCUCCAUCCUUGCAAUCUAUAAACACUCUUGCAGGAGUUGCUAGAACCAGUUUAGACUAGCUUAAGGAGAACUGAUUGUUAAGUUUUGAGUGUAAUUUUUUUUUAAGUGCAUUUUACCUCACAGAAAUCAGGGACUUGAGAAAGGCAUGAGAAAAUGUUAAUAAUAUAAAAUUUAAAAUAUGUUGUAGGGGGCAGCUGGGUGGCUCAGUGGAUCGAGAGAGAUCCUAGGUACAAAUCUGGCCUCAAACACUUCCUAGCUGUGUGACCCUGGGCAAGUCACUUAACCCCCAUUGCCUUCUGCCUUAGAACAAUAAGAGUAUUGAUUCUAAGAUGAAAUGUAAAGUGGUUUGUUUUUUUUAGUAUAUUGUAUAUUCUGUCCCCUAAAGAGCUAGUUGUUAAACAUUUACCAACAAAUCCUGAUACCUGUCUCCAUCGUUAAAACAUCCUUAUUUAGCCUAACCAUCCCUCUAGCUAAUGACCUAAAUCUUGCUUUCCCUUCUUAAAUAAAACCCCUGAGAAAACUGUGUAUAUAAGUGUCCUCCAUUUCCUUUCUUCUCAUUCUCUUAAGUCCUUUGUCAUCUGACUUCCAUCCUCAACAUUCAACUGAAGUUGUUCUCUCCAAAGCUGCUUAUGAUCUCAUACUUGCUUAUUCUUCUUGGCCAUUGCUUCAUUUGAAACUCAGUCAUUUUCUCUUUCUGGAGACCUUCUCUAAUGCUUCACGAUAAUGAUUUUUUCUUGAUUUUCUUCCUAUAUGACUGCUCUGCUUCAUUUGCUGGUUCUUCAUCCAUAUCAUGCCUUCCUCCUGUGGAUGGCCCCCAAGGCUCUUCCCUGAGCUUCUUUCUCUUUUUUUCCCCUAUGCUAUUUUACUGGAUAAUCUCAUAAAUUCAAUUUUCAUCUCUAUGCAGAUAAUUUCCAAAUAUAAAUAGUAAGUCCUAAUUUCUUUGCUGAGCAAAAGUUGUGAAUCUCCAAUUGUCUUUGUUGCCUCUGUUCCACUUAUUGGCAUCCCUUCAACAUGUCCAAAGCAGAACUCAUUAUCUUUAACCCCAAACUCUCCCCAUUUCUUAAUGUCUCUACCAUUCUCCCAGUCUUCCAGAUGAGCAACUUUUGUCUCUUCAUUGGUACUCACAUAUCCAAUUUGUUGUCAGAUCUUGUAGUUUCUACUUUCACAAUAUUUUUCAUAAUACUUCCCUUCUUUCUGUCCAUAUGACCACCACCUGGGUGCAAGUCUACAUCACCUCUUGAAUCUGGACUAUUUCAAUGGCUUUCUUAUUGGCCUCUGCCUUAUUUCUUCCCUCUCUAAGUCAUUCUCCAUACAGCCACCAAACUGGCACAGGUCCUAAAGCACAGGUUAAUAUAAUGCCCCCUACUCAAUAAACUCCAGUGGCUCCCUAUUACCUCUAACAUCAAUAUUCAAUCUCUGUUCAGCUUUUAAGUCCUUCACAACCUGGGCUCAUUCUACCUUUCCUGUCUUCUUGCACUUCCUCCACAUAUUUUACUCCAGCUAUAUUGGCCUACUUGUAAUUCCUCUAAAACAAUACUCUAAUCUACAGUCUCCAUACCUUGUACUGGUUGUCACCACGCCUAGAAUGCUCUCCUUCGUCAUGUAGACCUCCAGACUUCCCUGGUUUCUCUCAAGAUUCAGCAUCAAUCCCAUCUCUGUAGAAGGCCUUUCCCAUUUCCCCUUCCCCCUAACUAACCCCUUCCUUCUGAGAUGAUUUGCCAUUUGUGUAUGGGGUGCUCAGGAAGGGGUAAUAUCUCUGGUAUGGAGGGUUUGUCGUGCCCUUCUAGGGCAGCUCUCCAGCCUCUGACCCCCACUUGAUACCCAGCUCUCACUUGUGGCUCCCAGUAGCUGCUAGCAUGCAGCAGAGGCCACACCCCAGGCAACGGCUUCGACAGGCCGGCUAAACCUUGUGAGGGUAGCCAUCGGGUCAAUGUCGACCCCUGGUGAACCAGGGCUUUGCUCACCCAGCAUGUGAAGACUGCUUCGGCGGAACAGGCGGAAGAAACCAAUAAGAAGGUUCAACGGCUUAGAUGGCGAUGCAGCAAAGCACUGUGGAGUGCUUAGGGCGUGUUGGAGCACAAAAGACAACACGGCCAUCCAAUGCAGCUGAGGAAGUCUCCAGGUGUAACGACUUUUCGUGCCAAUGGACCCAGGCUUCCAACGCCGAGAGAGUGGGACUGUCUCUGUGCAUCGACUUUUCCACUUAAAUCUUCAUGCACAGGUGUCUUUGUGCACAAAAACGCACAAAGACCAUCGUCAUCCUCGGUUCGAGAGACAACCAACAAAUAUAUACUGUAUUAUUUCCCCCAUUCAAAUGUGAGUUUCUUGAGGUUAGGGGCCACGUUUUUGUCUUCAUAUCUCCAGGAUUUAGCACUAAGAGUAUUUAAUAAAUAAUUGAUGUCUGACUACUUUAUCAAAAACAGUCACAUAAUAUAGGGAGACAGUUUUUAUAAUGAAAUGACAGUCCCACUAAACUCAAACUGGCCAUAACAUCUAGAGUAUUGGGUUCAAUUCUGGACACUCUUUUAGGAACAUUAUUAUCAGUCUAGAACCUGUCCAGAGGCAAUAGCCAAAGUAAUGAAGGAAGUGGAGAUAUAUUCCAUAUAAAGGAAUUAAGGAUGUUUUUAAAUUGGAAAAGAGAAAAUUUAUGGGAAAAUUAUCUUUUUUUUUUUAACCCUUACUUUCUGUCUUAGAAUCAAUACUAAGUAUCAGUUCCAAGACAAAAGAGUGGUAAGGGUGAGGCAAUUGAGGUUAAGUGACUUGCCCAGGGUCACACAGCUAGGAAACAACUGAGGCCAGAUUUGAACCCAGGACCUUUUGUCCCCAGGCCUGGUUCUUUAUUCACUGAGCCAUCUAGCUGCCCUAUGAUCUUUGUCUUUAGUAUUUGAAAGUCUAUCAUAUGAAGAACCUGUGAUCCUUUGAUUGUGAGCUCUCCUAUGUUUAAAGGUCUCUUGAGAAGCUUAACAAUUGUUUCAUUGAGUUGAGUUGGGGUUCCAUAAUGCACUUCCUAAAAUUAUUCCAACAGAAAAUAUCAUCACUUUCAGAAAAUCCUUCCAUAUUUGUUGUUGUUGUCUAUCUGUUGUUCAGUCGUUUCAGCUGAAUCUGAUUCUUUAUGACCCCAUUUUGGAGUUUUUUUGGUAAAGACACUGGAAUGGUUCACCAUUGCCUUCUCCAGCUCAUUUUACAGAUGAAGAACUGAGGCAAAGAGGCUGCAUUUGGACUCAUGAAGAUGAGUCUUCCUGAUUCCAAAUCCAGCGCUCUAUCCACUGAACAUCUAGCUGCCCAAGUCCUCUAUGUUAUGGCUCAUUAAGAUAAUGGAAAACAGUUGCUAACCACUUGUGUGUGUGUGUGUGUUUGUGUGUGUGUGUGUGAUGACAUUUCAUAAAUUCAACUUUAAGCCUUCUCUUCUCUAGAAUAAUUCCAAGGUAGCCACCUGGUGCAAAUACACAAACUAUGGACCAAAAUCCACCGUCUUCCCAUCUCCAUCCACUAGUACCAAAUAGAAGCCACCCAAGAGUAGGUUACAAACUGAUUUUUAAAUUAAAUAGCCAGCAAGACAUUAUACAUACAAACAGAAUCCUUGCCAAAAGAAAUUGGAUGGGGAUGAAAGAGACUUGAAUUAUAGCAAGAAAGUUAUUGAUUAGACCUAAGGAAGAGCUAGAGGACAAUUUAAAUCUGGAACAGGCGACUAGCCACAGUGAUGAGGUCGAUCCCUGGAGAAUCUAAAUAAUAGAAUAGACAAUCAUCUCUUAUCUAUUUACUUUCAGGAAAGUAAGUGGGUAGAAUUCGACAACCACUUUAUAUCUCCAGCUCCAGGAUCUUUUAACCCUUGACACAUAGGAAAUAUGUACUUGUGUUUUCCUCCAAAUUCCAAGAAAGAACCCUUGGGCUUAAAGUCUUUCAGCCUCAGUUUCCUCUUUAAUUGAAUUUAUCAGUACAGCCUUGCUUCCCCCUGAAGGAUGGUAAUGAUAAAUUACUAACCCAGAAAGCUCUAAGACUGUGAGGUCAACCCACAAUGUACCACUGCUAAAUAGUAGUAGCCCAGACUUAAGUAGGGUGUUUGAGAUGGUUUAACCAUUAGACAUGGCUGAGGGCUACGUACAGAAAGAUCUGGCUUAGAAGACAGUUAAAGAUAGUGCUUUGGAUGUACUCAGGCCAAGAUUUCUCCAGGGAAGGUGUAUCCUAGAAAUCUGAAACACGGGCUCUAAGGUGCCGUUAGUUUUUCUUUAGGAUCAGUUUGGAGAAGACCUACAUUUACUUUUGCCUUAAUCCUAACUCUUACAAAACUAGUUUGUACCUACAAACUACAGGGAAAAAAUUUUAAAUGGUUAGUGCUAAGACCUAGUUGACUCUCCAUAAUGUGUCCUAACUCAGCAAAGUUGAGAAAUAGCAACAGCAGACAAGAGGACACAAGUUGGGAGUAGUGGUGAGGAAUGCUGGGCCCUUUGGGGUCAACAGAUGCCAACAGCCUCUAGAAGCUCAAAACUCUCCAACUCAAAGCAAUCCACCUAUCCAACCAGGUCACCAAAGUGAUCUGCAGACAGAAAAGUCUAAAAAUCACUGUCUUAAGAUGGAUCCUAGAAAUGAACCAUCUGAGAGAUAUAGCCACACUUAGAGACUACCAUGGCCUAGCAUUGAAAUUAAUCUCUAACUUCUUGAAACACAGGAGAAAAUGUUGAAUUUGGUUGGUGUGCUCCUUCCUUUCACCUUUCUCUCUUCUUUAUUUUUCUCUCUUUCUCCCUUUUCUCUCUCUUAUCUUCUCCUCUUCUUCCUCUUCCUCUUCUUCCUCCUUUUGUUUUCUUCUUUCUCUCUGACAUAGUAGAAUAUCCUGGAGAUGAAGUCAGGAAACCUAGGUUUGAAUUCUUUUUUCUAUCACAUCUUUGCUAUAGAAACUUGAUGAAUCAGUUAAUCUCUGUAAGCCUCAGUUUCUUAAUUUGUAAACAGAGAAGACAAUAAGUAAAAUUUAUAUAGCCCUUUAAAGUUUGCAUAAUGGUUUCUUUUGAUGUUUUAAACAUCCUUUUAUAACAUGAGGCAAAUGCUACAAUUAUCAUUGUCCCCAUUUUAUAGAUAAGAAAAAUGAGUCUCAGAGAAGUUGUGUCCAGUUCAUGGUUACACAAUGUAUCUGAGAAAGAAGGUGGACCCAGGAACAAAGAUACUUGCCCUAUCUAUCUAACAGGGUUAUGGCAAGUAUCAAAUCAGAUAGAACAUGAACAAGUGUUCUGUGAUCUAUAAAGCAGUAUAUAAAUGUAAGUUAUUAUUAGUACCAAGAGGUACCUGGAGAGCUCACCUGGUACACACUUCUUAGAGGCAAGAUUGCUUCUGGUUAGAAGAGGACAUUCCCUCCCCUAUUUCCUCAAGUAACUUGUCGGAAUACUUAACAACAAAUGCCAUCUGAAAAUCUUUUCUCGUUUCUAAAAAAAAAAAUUCAUGCUAUAUAUAGCCCAAUCCCAUUUACACUUAUUCUUCCUUGAGGGGAGAAAUAUAGCAGGCUCUUUGAAUGAUCAGAAAGACUGUCAUAUUUAUUCAAAGCCAGUGUGGCACAAUCUGCCUAUCAUUGGUAGCCAUUUCAACAGUGUUGUUUAUCCAUUUCAGGCCUUCUGCAUCUCAGUUACCUAGGGGAUUGUCUUUUAAUUUGUUUGUCUCUAUUAAUUGGGUAAGUUAAGUAAAAUGAGGCAUCUCUUCUGGAAACAGCUGUAGAGAGAGAGAUUCAGUUUCAGGUUCACUGGUGUACAAUAUUUCUCAUGUCUUGCAAAUAAUGAAAAGAUAUCAGAAGAAUUGAGAGUCCAUUUAUUCAAAUAAGGAAGGAGACAAACAUUUAUUAAUCUCCUACUAUGUGCCAAGUAUUCUGCUUAGUACUUUACAAAUAUUAUCUCAUUUCAUCCUCACAGAAACCUUAGGAAAUAGGUGCUAUUAUUAUUCCCAUUUUAUGGGAAUUUAUGGAUGAGAACAUGAGACAAAUGGAGGCUGACUGGCCCAGGGUCGUGUCUAAGGUGGAGGAUUUUUUUUAAGGUUUUCCUGACUCUUGGUCCAGCAUUCUCUCUCCUGAGCCUCAUAGCAGACAUUAUAUCAGGAGUGGAUGAGAACAAUUUGUUCCAAAACUCAUGAAGAUGUAGAAAGCAAGUACUAUGGAGCUUUUAGAAUUUGCAGUCACUGCAUACCUUGCCACCAGUAGUUAUCUUGACUCGUCUUGCCAUUGGACUUAGAUAACAUUGGAAGAGAGAGUGAGGUUGACAAUUCUGCACAAUUGUGCCUCACUGAAAUCCAAUUCAUCAAGUCAUGACAUCUAUAAUGUCAUGGAACAACAACAGCAACAACAAUAUGGAGCCUGGUAAAAGAGAAUAAAUUGGAGAAGGAAAUGGCAAACCACUUUAGCAUCUUUACCAAGAAAACAUCAUAGACAUUAUGGUCCAUGGAGUCAUGAACAGUCAGACAUGACUGAAUUGCAUAAUGGCAAAUGGAAUUCUGCAAUGGCAAAACAGUGAAGGUUUUGUACUUUGGAUUGGAACCUUUAUAAUACAUCACUCCAAAAGAAGAAUGAUUAUGGAGAAAGUGGGUGGAGGAAACAUCUAGUCAUCUAACCAUCCAUUUAUCUAUUCAUGCCCCCAUCCAACAAAUAUUUUUUUUAGCAUCUACCAUACCAGUCACUAAGAAAGCUACAAAUAUGCAAAAGACAUUUACAUUCAGUCCAUAAUGUAAAACACAUAAUCCCUGCUCUCCAAAAGUUUAUGUACAUCAAGUGGGAAAUGACUGAACAAGUUGCCCAAUAUGCUUGUAAUGGAAUACUAUUGUGUCAUGAGAAGUGACAAACAAAAUUAACCUAGAAAGACUUAUACGAAGUGAUGCAAAGUAAAGUAAGCAGAACCAGGAGAACACUGUACACAGUAACAACAAUAAUGUAUGAUAGUCAAUUAGGAAUGGCUUGACUAUUAUCAACAAGGUAAGGAUCUAGGACAUCUCCAAGGGACUCAUGACAAAAAAGGAUAUCCACCAACAUAGAAGGAACAGAAGUCCAAAUGCAGACUGAAAUACAUCAUUCUUCACUUUAUUUCCUCCAUUAAUUUUUUCUCUAAUACAAGCAAUCUAUGUCUUGUUUCACAACAUGACAAAUGGGGAAAUAUUAUAUCAUAAUAUAUGUACAACCUAUAUCAUAUUACCUGCCUUCUUGGGGAGGUGAAAGGGGUGGGGAAAAAAGGAAAAAUAAUGAGAGAAAUUUUUGGAUUUAGCUAAUGUGAGAAUUUGUUUCUCUUGGAUAAGCAUAUUUAUUAGUAUUUAUUACAUAUUUAUGGUAAAUUAUAUGAAUUAUAUUGUUGGUACAUAUUAUGUUAUAUUUUUUAAAAAUAAAGUAAAUUAUAACUUAAAAAAAAAGGCUAUGAGCAUGAACACAUCUUUCCCAACAAAGAUGAAAGUUUUUGUAGAAAUUAGAAAGAAGACUUUUUUGGGAUCUAGUUCUGUGGUUUUUCUCCACCAAUGCAAACUGACAACUCAUCUGUAACAUAGUCUUAGAAAGUUAUCUGGGGUACUGGGAAGAAAAGGUGGAUCCAUAGAUUCCUUCAGAAAUUGUAAAAGAGGCUUCAUAAUAUUCUAUAUCUUGAAGAAUGGUAAAGUAAAGACCUAGAAGGAUCGUAAUAGUAAGUGCUUGAAUUAUUUGUUUUCGAUUGCCUUCUAUUAAGCUGUGGUGGGCUCAUGUAAUUGAUACUCCUGAGGCCAGUAGAAUUUAGUAGUGGCACUUCAGGUGGAUUAAGUGGAUGAAUUCCAGUUGGAGGUCAGCAUCCUCCUAGUUCAUGGGUUGGGGCUAAACUUGAGUGAUAAAAUGCUCAAAAGAAGCCAAUGAAAA